rnacentral:rRNA from 1 species
UACGUAGGAGGCGAGCGUUGUCCGGAAUUACUGGGUGUAAAGAGCGCGUAGGCGGGAGGCCAAGUCUGUGGUGAAAGCGCCCGGCUCAACUGGGCAUGGUCCAUGGAAACUGGUCACCUGGAGGACGGUAGAGGCGAGUGGAAUUCCCGGUGUAGUGGUGAAAUGCGUAGAGAUCGGGAGGAACACCAGUGGCGAAGGCGGCUCGCUGGGCCGGUCCUGACACUGAGGCGCGAAGGCGUGGGGAGCGAACGGG